CAUCAUGUGAUUGCGUAAACCUGACUUGUGUGUGAAUCUACUUCCACAAAGUGAACAUUCAAAUGGCUUCUCUCCAGUGUGGGUUCUCAUGUGGAUUUCUAAAUAAAACUUUUGGCAGAAUGUUUUCCAGCACACAGAGCAGUAGUAUAGUUUCUUUUCACAUCCCACAUCACUUAGCGACAAGUCAGUAUUCAUCAUCAUGUCUCUGGGUGACUUUGUUUCCUGUGUCGUGUUUUUAUUCUGAGAAAAUGUUGCUUCACAUUCAGAAGAACCAACCAGUUUCUGUUCUGUGUGAGUGUCCAUG